rnacentral:misc_RNA from 1 species
GAUGAAGAACGUAGCGAAAUGCGAUACGUAAUGUGAAUUGCAGAUUUCAGUGAAUCAUCGAAUCUUUGAACGCACAUUGCGCCCGCUAGUAUUCUGGCGGGCAUGCCUGUUCGAGCGUCAUUUCAACCAUCAAGCCCUGUGCUUGUGUUGGAGCCCUGCGGCUGCCGCAGGCUCCCAAACCCAGUGGCGGGCUCGUCGUCGUACCGAGUGCAGUAAACAUACCACGCUCAGGGCUCGCGACGGGUGACCGGCCGUAAAACCCCCCCCCUUCUCAAGGUUGACCUCGGAUCAGGUAGGAAUACCCGCUGAACUUAAGCAUAUCAAUAAGCGGAGGA